rnacentral:rRNA from 1 species
UAGGGAAUCUUCGGCAAUGGACGCAAGUCUGACCGAGCAACGCCGCGUGAGUGAAGAAGGUUUUCGGAUCGUAAAACUCUGUUGUUAGAGAAGAACAAGGACGUUAGUAACUGAACGUCCCCUGACGGUAUCUAACCAGAAAGCCACGGCUAACUACGUGCCAGCAGCCGCGGUAAUACGUAGGUGGCAAGCGUUGUCCGGAGUUAUUGGGCGUAAAGCGAGCGCAGGCGGUUUCUUAAGUCUGAUGUGAAAGCCCCCGGCUCAACCGGGGAGGGUCAUUGGAAACUGGGAGACUUGAGUGCAGAAGAGGGGAGUGGAAUUCCAUGUGUAGCGGUGAAAUGAGUAGAUAUAUGGAGGAACACCAGUGGCGAAGGCGGCUCUCUGGUCUGUAACUGAAGCUGAGGCUAGAAAGCGUGGGGAGCAAACAGG